rnacentral:rRNA from 1 species
UACAGAGGUCUCAAGCGUUGUUCGGAUUCAUUGGGCGUAAAGGGUGCGUAGGUGGCGCCGUAAGUCAGGUGUGAAAUUUCGGAGCUUAACUCCGAAACUGCAUUUGAUACUGCGGUGCUUGAGGACUGGAGAGGAGACUGGAAUUCACGGUGUAGCAGUGAAAUGCGUAGAUAUCGUGAGGAAGACCAGUGGCGAAGGCGGGUCUCUGGACUGUAACUGACGCUGAGGCGCGAAAGCGUGGGGAGCAAACAGG